AUAUAGGGAUCUGUCUUUAAGUUAGGGAUAAAUUACUCUAAAAAAGAAUCUUAGAUAUUUUCCUUCAGAGUCAGAGCGUCUUGU
rnacentral:pre_miRNA from 1 species